rnacentral:rRNA from 1 species
CCUACGGGUGGCUGCAGUGGGGAAUAUUGGGCAAUGGGCGCAAGCCUGACCCAGCAACGCCGCGUGAAGGAAGAAGGCUUUCGGGUUGUAAACUUCUUUUCUCAGGGACGAAGCAAGUGACGGUACCUGAGGAAUAAGCCACGGCUAACUACGUGCCAGCAGCCGCGGUAAUACGUAGGUGGCAAGCGUUAUCCGGAUUUACUGGGUGUAAAGGUCGUGUAGGCGGGACUGCAAGUCAGAUGUGAAAACCACGGGCUCAACCUGUGGCCUGCAUUUGAAACUGUAGUUCUUGAGUGCUGGAGAGGCAAUCGGAAUUCCGUGUGUAGCGGUGAAAUGCGUAGAUAUACGGAGGAACACCAGUGGCGAAGGCGGAUUGCUGGACAGUAACUGACGCUGAGGCGCGAAAGCGUGGGGAGCAAACAGGAUUAGAUACCCGUGUAGUC